UGGGGAAUAUUGGACAAUGGGGGCAACCCUGAUCCAGCGAUGCCGCGUGUGUGAAGAAGGCCUGAGGGUUGUAAAGCACUUUAGUUGGGGAGGAAAGCCAGAGGAUGAAUAAGCUUCUGGGGAGACGUUACCCAAAGAAUAAGCACCGGCUAACUCUGUGCCAGCAGCCGCGGUAAUACAGAGGGUGCAAGCGUUAAUCGGAAUGACUGGGCGUAAAGAGCUCGUAGGCGGCCAUAUGUGUCACAGGUGAAAUCCCCGGGCUUAACCUGGGAACUGCCUGUGAAACUGUAUGGCUAGAAUAUAAGAGAGGUAAGUGGAAUUUCCGGUGUAGCGGUGAAAUGCGUAGAUAUCGGAAAGAACACCAGUGGCGAAGGCGACUUACUGGCUUAAUAUUGACGCU
rnacentral:rRNA from 1 species